rnacentral:rRNA from 1 species
GUGGGGAAUCUUGCGCAAUGGGCGAAAGCCUGACGCAGCCAUGCCGCGUGAAUGAUGAAGGUCUUAGGAUUGUAAAAUUCUUUCACCGGGGAAGAUAAUGACUGUACCCGGAGAAGAAGCUCCGGCUAACUUCGUGCCAGCAGCCGCGGUAAUACGAAGGGGGCUAGCGUUGCUCGGAAUUACUGGGCGUAAAGGGAGCGUAGGCGGACAGUUAAGUCAGUGGUGAAAGCCCAGGGCUCAACCCUGGAAUUGCCUUUGAUACUGAUUGUCUUGAGUAUGGGAGAGGUAUGCGGAACUCCGAGUGUAGAGGUGAAAUUCGUAGAUAUUCGGAAGAACACCAGUGGCGAAGGCGGCAUACUGGCCCAUUACUGACGCUGAGGCUCGAAAGCGUGGGGAGCAAACAGGAUUAGAUACCCGUGUAGUCC